GACGAACGCUGGCGGCGUGCUUAACACAUGCAAGUCGAACGCUGAAGCCCUUUCGGGGGUGGAUGAGUGGCGAACGGGUGAGUAACACGUGGGUAAUCUGCCCUGUACUUCGGGAUAAGCCUUGGAAACGGGGUCUAAUACCGGAUAGGACCUGUCCUCGCAUGGGGGUGGGUGGAAAGUUCCGGCGGUAUGGGAUGAGCCCGCGGCCUAUCAGCUUGUUGGUGGGGUAGUGGCCUACCAAGGCGACGACGGGUAGCCGGCCUGAGAGGGUGACCGGUGACACUGGGACUGAGACACGGCCCAGACUCGUACGGGAGGCAGCAGUGGGGAAUCUUGCGCAAUGGGCGAAAGCCUGACGCAGCAACGCCGCGUGGGGGAUGACGGCCUUCGGGUUGUAAACCUCUUUCGACAUCGACGAAGGGGCCCUGUUGUGGGGUUUUGACGGUAGGUGUAGAAGAAGCACCGGCUAACUACGUGCCAGCCGCCGCCGUAA
rnacentral:rRNA from 1 species